ACUUGGUUCAGGUUAUUUUGUUUGGGCUUAGCCCAAGACUGGUUAAACGUAAUAGGUUUAAAGAGAAUGUAGCAGCCGCCGUUCUAUAAUAAGGAGAACCCUAACCCCAGUUCAUCACCCCUAGAAGCAGAAACGUCGACCCCUUCUAACGUAUGUAACGGUCCGGGAUUUAAGGUAACUCCUCGCCCAUGUCAUCUGGUAUUUCAGAAGUGUGAAUUUGUGGGUUAUUUAUAUUGUAACGCUGCUAUGUGUUGCUGUGAUUCAUUGUUUGAUUAAUUGUGAGGUGGGGGUUAUGAGUGGGGGAGAGAUCUAGAUAACCUCAGAACAAAGACACCGCGGGAUAAGGAGGAAGAGAUCCGGUGCUUUGAUGAGGGCGAUUACCCUUGGGAUGCGCACUGAGGAGGGAAUUGUGUAGGUGGCGUACAGUAGAACUGGAAAAAAGGCGAUGAGUGAUGUAGACCCUAAUCGAUAUUGUGUUGUUGGUGCUUUGUUACUUCAAUCAUAUAUGAGUGGAAAGCUUAUUGUUGAUAAAUCCAGGUAAACUGACAAAUUCCAUAUUGUUCUGGGGACUAUGUUAUUUAUAAGUUAGAGAAUCAAUUCUAAACCUAAAUUUAUGUAAAUACCUUGCUUUUAAAAUACUUAUAAUAUAUUUUCGCAUGUAUGAAUUGCAAUGAGUCACGUUGAUGCUUGCAUGUUGUGUAAUUGAGAAGGCAACAGAUUAGUUUAGAAAAAAAAGUAAAGUUGAAUAUCCACAAUUAAUUAAUGUAAGGGUAGUCUUGGGUAAUGGAAUGGAACAUCAAAAGAAGGUUCUGUGUUGGGGGAAUUGUAUUAUAGAAGCAGUUUUUACGAAUCAUGAUUUUUAUUGUUAUUGGAUUUUCUGUCCAUGUUCAUCGGCUGAUUGAUUGUUGAUAGUCCUAUCUAAAUGCAUUUUCUGUUUUUGAUUGCUUCUCCGGUCCCCCCGCAUUGUAAUGCUUCGCCUCUGCCCCGACAGAAUCACGGAAGGAAUAAUUUAACACGGAAGGGCAGCUCCAAAAUUGUUUAGGCGGCUAGUGGUUCCCUCGUUCUAUACCUAAUCACGAAUCGGUUAGUAAUAUAGUAACUUUUGUUGGGUAUAAAGCUAUCCUGGAUUAUAAUAAAUUUUUUCGUUUCGAAACUCCAAUUUAUAGUUUCUUGACAAAAAAAAGGCAAAAUAAUCACUCAGAACUUGGUUAAAUUUCAUUCAUUCCAGUUCAACUUAGUACGUGAAUAAAAAGUCGUUAGAACAGAGAAUACUGGUGUAUUGUAUAGUUUUUUGUGCCUGUUGUUAGUAAUUAGUUGAGUACGUGCUGCCGUAAAGUCGGAUAGUUUUAAAGGAUUGUUGGAGAGGGCUGUCUGGUCCGAUAUCAGUGAAGGUAUCAGCCGGGGAAGGAAUAAAAGUAAAAUGGAAUAAGAAAGAAGAUGUUAGUAUUUGGUUUAAUGAAUGUUGGUACGGAAUUGUAAAGUUAUUGGGUUUAGGGCGUGGGUAUUUUGUGAUUUUUAAGUGUAACGGAAGAUCUAAAUUUAAGUUCCCGAUGAUCCAUUCGAGUGACUCGGAGCUUGAUUAUUCGAGUUUCAUAAGUUUCCAUGACGAUCACUACCUUGUGGGAAAUAAUUUUCCGAGUCAUAUGGGGUGAGCAUUAUGGAAACUUCUGAAACUUGAGUAUUCAAUCUCCGAAGCACUCGAACAGAUCACCAUGAGAUUAAAUUUAGAUUCACCAUUAUACUUAAAAAUCACAAAAUACCGAUGCUUUAACCUGUAUAGCUCGACAACUCCGUGCCAAGCUGCAUUCAACCAAACACUGUCAUCUUCUUUCUUGAUCCAUUUUGCUUUUAUUCCAUCCGCAGCUGAAAAUUCCAACGAUAUUGGAUUUGAUAGUCCUUUCUAGUAAUUCUUUUUGAAAAAACGACGGGAAAGACCGUACCCGGCAACACAUACUAAACAAGAUAUUAACAAUCGACACAGAAGAUUAAAUAUUAACUGGAUGGAUGAUGAUGUUUGUUUUUUCUUUGUUGAGGGAAUAUUAAAUUGAAUUUUACUCGG